rnacentral:rRNA from 1 species
UACAGAGGUGCCGAGCGUUAGGCGGAAUCACUGGGCUUAAAGCGUGUGUAGGCGGACUUCUAAGUACCUUGUGAAAUCCCACGGCUCACCCGUGGAACUGCUGGGUAUACUGGUCGUCUUGAGCCACCUAGGGGCCAGCGGAACAAAUGGUGGAGCGGUGAAAUGCGUAGAUAUCAUUUGGAACGCCGACGGUGAAAACAGCUGGCUGGGGGUGUGCUGACGCUGAGACACGAAAGCCAGGGGAGCGAACGGG